AAACUUUCAACAACGGAUCUCUUGGUUCUGGCAUCGAUGAAGAACGCAGCGAAAUGCGAUAAGUAAUGCGAAUUGCAGAAUUCCGUGAGUCAUCGAAUCUUUGAACGCACAUUGCGCCCGCCAGUAUUCUGGCGGGCAUGCCUGUCCGAGCGUCAUUU
rnacentral:rRNA from 1 species